GCACUCUUAGCUCAGUUGGUAGAGCAUCUGACUCUUAAUCAGCAGGUCGGGGGUUCGAAUCCCCCAGGGUGCACUA
rnacentral:tRNA from 1 species